GAACUCUUCAUCCGCCACAUCCAGGGCCUCAGUCUCGAGGUCCAGAGCGAGCUGGCCGCUGCCAUCCAGGAGGUACUGAGACGGUUCGGCAGCCCAGACUGGUAUGGCACCUGGGACGCCCUUGCCACACCGCGGCUUCCACUGAACUGCUCUUCCUGCGCCCCAGGUGACCCAGCCGGGGGCCGGCGUGGUGCUGGCACUGUCUGGGCCAGAGCCUGGGGAUCUGGCACCUGCCGAGCUGGAGAUGCUGUCCCGGAGCCUGAUGGGGACACUGUCGAAGCUGGCACGGGAGCGUGACCUGGGGGCCCAGGGAGGAGAAGGCCGAGCUGCUGCUAGACUCCCAGGCCGAGGUGCAGGGUUUGGAGGCCGAAAUAAGAAGGCUCCGCCAGGAGGUGCGCUCACAUGCUCCCCGCCACCGCGGCAUUCCCUAACCUCCCCGCACC
rnacentral:lncRNA from 1 species